AUGGGCUCCCAGUGCCCCCCAGGCUGCCCCGGUGCACCCACCUCGACCAGGGACAAGCUCUUACCUAAUGCACUCUGGCCUCAUCAGAUUAGACACCUCUCGUCCCGGGGAUGUUGUCGUGUUUUCAAAUGGCUUCAAUCAGCACCUCCCAGGCUCUGGUUAUUUCUGGAUACAAUAAAGCUAAACCUCAUCCAGGCUGACGUUGUCCGCGGUUACACACGGCUCAGGAGGAAGAGCUCAGCAACAGCAACCGGGUUUCUAAUGAUCUUGUCAUUGAGAACAGCACAGAGAGAUAAAUGAAAGAGUGAGGGAAUAGCCAAGAUCAAAACUCAAAUUUCCAGAUGUCCAGAGCACGGCAGGUUGCAGGCUGGCCAUGUUUGUCUCCUUAGACCCACGCUGGCACAGCACUUGGGGUGCAGGGACAUGUGUCCUCUUAGUGACAGAGAAUGAAAU